rnacentral:lncRNA from 1 species
UGUGGCUGUAAUAGACCGGUGCAUCUGUUUAACAUCAACAGAAAGCAAACAGAAGGGCUGUCAUCUCUUCCAGUUUGAAACAGAUAAAAACAGUGAAUCUACAAAUGGCAAGCUCAUAAGUGCUUUCCUGUGGGGAGAAAUCCUGAAGGGGUCUCUUGCUCCAGGAGCAGCGUGGAGGAGACUUUGAAGCAGGAAUACCACCCCACCCUCACCCACUCACCCAUGUCCGUUUAUUUUGGACAUGCUACAGUAAAUCCUCCCCAAGACAUGCGCUGCUCGUGUUUCAUGAGCUUAACAGAAGGAAUGGCAGAAGUUUGCCCAAAUAAGGUACAUGGGCAGACACCUGAGGCUUUCAACACCUGUUUUAACAAAGAAGAAGAACCCAUCAAGUCAAUUUUUCUGAUCCAGCAAACAGCAUAGGUCUGGGAGUCAAAAAGCCUGGUAGCACAUAGCCUCUCAACUACUUAUUACCUUCCCUGACACAUUUGUCCAUCCUGGAUGUCCAUUGAUUCAUCAUAAAGGAUUGUCGAAAGAAUUAAAUGAGCCAGCGUAAAAGCAAUCAUUCUCUUUAUGAUCGCUCCUUCAAGUCAGACUCCAAGCCACUCGUAAAAGAAAGAAAAAAGCCUGGAAGGAGAGGCCUGCAGCAAAGUGAGGUGUCUCCUUUUAUGAGCAGUGCCCUGGGAUAGCUCCAAACCCAAAAGCUAAGUGCCCUGAAGACAGUCCCCAAAUAGGAUGUUAUAGAGAUGAAUGAAGCAAUGUUUCCAAGAUGCUUGGAGGUCUGGGAUGAAAAUCUGCUGAAACAGAGCAAAAAGCUAAGUCGUGAUCAGCCUUGCAUACAGCGGAAUGUAGAUCCUCGUCAUCGGAUUUGGACCCAGUGUAGACAGCACCUGAGCAUCAGUCAACUCCACCUUCUAAAGCCUGUGUUUAGCCACUGCAUCAAAAAGCAAAAGUACCAAUGGACAUUCUUCACCCUGGUUCAGCGUUUCUUCAGCCAAGUGCUUACUCAAGGAACCAAGAAUAAGAGAUAACAAUUUUUUAAAUAUGCAGAAACCCACCAAUAUGAAAAAAGAAGAUUGAAGGCCUUAUAAAAUAUAAAUGUUUCCUCACUGGUGACAGCCCUGCCACUAUUAAGCAUUGGUAUAUUAGUCCCCAAGACAUUUACUGCCAUCUGUUGGAAAAUUAGUAGAAUGAAUACAUUAAUCUAAGAUGACCACAAACAUACAUGUCAUCACAUAGUUUUGUGUAGUGUACAAUCUACAACAUACGAGGAUGCAAACCAAAAGUUUUGAGAAGGGAUAAUCAUGCUUAAAAUAAGCCCCACAGACAAUAUUAUUACCAUUAUUUUUCAUUGAUAAUGUAUUCAAUUAGAUAGUAGACAUUUGAGGAAAUGACAAAUAAGAAAGAUCUAAUUGUGACAUAAUUUAUUCAAUAAUUCAUUUAUACAGAAAAUAUUUAUCAAGUGUCUAUAAUGAGUCGAGCUUUAUUCUGGGAUCUAGUUAUAGAGCAAUGAAUAAAUAACACAGACAAAAUUAUCUCCCCUUACAGAGUUUCUGUGGGGAAAAACAAUAAAGUUUAGAUAAGUAUGUCAUUUAUGAGAUAGUAAUAAUUGCUAAAGACAAAAAGUCAAGGAUAAGAAAUACAAAAAUGUUGGGUGAUAAGUAGUUUGAGAAAAAACUUAGGAAGUUCACACAGUGGGGAAUAGUUUGUGUCACUUUAGUCAUAAUGAAAGGCCUUAUCAUAUAUAGGCAUCAAACAGUCUUCAAAAGAAUAUUGCCUUAGUACUGGGGCUACAUUGACUCUAAACCAAAAGCUGCUCUGACCUGCCCUAACAAAGUUCAAAACAAAGACUUGAAAGAAUGCAACUAAUCCCAACUAACUUGACUUUAUGCCAGAACAAAAUCCAACAUGAUUUAAAGAAAAACAACCAAAUUCAGCAAACAGCAAUAAAAAUUUCACAAUGCUUGGUAUCCAAUCAAGUAUAAUUAGUUUUGCAAAGUAGGAAAAUUUAUCCAAAACCAAGAAAAAAUUAAUAAAAGCAGAUUUUAAAAGAUCAGAGCUGAUAAAAUUAGGAGACAGAGACAUUGAGACAGCCAGGCUAAGUAUAUCCAAUGUGUUUAAGAAAAUAGAUGAAUAUAUAAGAAUCAAGAGAAAAGAAAUGGUAGAUUUUUUUAGAUGAUAUUAAAAGUAGAUUUGACACUGUAAAAUAAAUAAUCAAUGAACUUAAAAAUAUAAAAAUAAAUAAAGUGCAGAGAGAAAAAAUAAAAAUAAAGAUCAGAGUAUCCAUGUCCUGAGAGAAUAUCAAAUAGUCUAACAUUUGUGUAAUUGGUGUCCUAGAAGGGUAAUGUGCAGAAAAAGACACUAAUAAAAUAAAAUAAAUCACUAACAUUUUCCAAAUUUGGUGAAAACUAUAAAAUUUCCUGUACUGGGUUGAAUAGUGUGUCUCCCUCCCAAACUCAAGAAACACACACACCAAAUUCAUGUCCAUCCAGAACCUGUGACAGUGACCUUAGCUCGAAAUAGGGUUUUUGUAGAUGUAAUCAAGUUAAGAAGAGUUAAUGCUAAACUAAGAUGUACCCUAAUCUAGUGACUUGUGUCCUUGUAAAAACAGGAAAAUUUGUGCACAGAAAUAUGUGAAGAGGUCAUGUGAAGACAUAAACAGAUAUUGGAGUAAGGUAUCUACAAGCCAAGGAACACUAAAAAUUACUAGCAACCACCAGAACCAAGAAGAGACAAGGAAGGAGUCUUCCCUAGACCCUUCAGAGGGAGCAUGGCCCUGCCAAAAUCUUGAUUUCAGACUUCUGUGUUCUAUAAGUGUGAGAGAAUAAAUAUUUGUCAUUUUAAGCCACAUAGAUUGUGGCAAUUUGUUAUAGUGGCCCUAGGAAAACUAAUAUACCCACAGACCCAAGAAUCUCAAUGGACCCCAAGAAGAAUAUAUAAUUAAAAAAUCAUGCUGAGAACCAUCAUAACUAUUUUUAAAAAUAAAAUUAUGGGUCUAUGACAAAGGAACAUAGGAAUCACCCUGAAAGGGCUCCAAAAGCUCAGAGCUAGAAUGAUUUGAGUAAUAACAUGAGUAAUGUAGUUUUAGACUCUAACCCAAAGCAUAAAUUAAAUAUCCACAAAUCUAUACUGAUAUAAACACAUGGUUUACUAAAUAAAUUAGGUAGAAUAGAUAAAUCCCAUGUACAGAAGAAUUCCAAAUAAUUUGUGUACAUAUUGCCAACUACAAGCAUUAACUUAAGCAGUGGCAAUGCCCUCAAGUUUGAAGAUAUUUUUACUGAGUAAAACAUUUUUGAUUACUUUAAAAACAAAUCAAAUAUUUUCUUAAGACACAUCUGAAAGAAUUCAUCACCAUUAUGUCUACACUACAAAAAAUGUUAAUGAUAGUUCUUUAGGCAGAAGAAACUGACACCACAAAGAAACUGACACCACACCAUAAAGGAAUGAAGAAUGCCAAAAUGGUAACAACUGGGUAAGUGUUAGAGAUAUUUGUCUUUCUUUUUGUUUUUUUGGACAAAGUUUUGCUCUUUUUGCCCAGGCUGGAGUGCAAUGGCACGAUCUUGGCUCACUGCAAUAUCUGCCUCCUGGCUUCAAGUGAUUCUCCUGUCUCAGCCUCUCGAAUAGCUGGGAUUACAGGUGCACGCCACCACACCCAGCUAAUUUUGUAUUUUUAGUAGAGAUGGGGUUUCACCAUGUUGGCCGGGCUGGUCCUGAACUCCUGACCUCAGGUGAUCCACCCACCUCAGCCUCCCAAAGUGCUGAGAUUACAUGCAUGAGCCACAGCUCCCAGCCUUGUUUUUUUAGAUGGAGUCUCACUCUGUCACCCAGGCCGGAGUGCAGUGGUGUGAUCUUGGCUCAUUGCAACCUCUGCCUCCCGGGUUCAAGUGACUCUCCUGCCUCAGCCUCCCAAGUAGCUGGAACAACAGGCAUGUGCGACCACACCCAGCUUAUUUUUGUAUUUUUUAGUAGAGAUGGGGUUUCACCAUAUUGGCCAGGCUGGUCUCAAACUCCUGACCUCAGGUGAUCCACUCACCUCAACCUCCCAAAGUGCUGGGAUUACAGGAAUGAGCCACCACACCCGGCCAUUUUUCUUACUUUUAAUAUUUUUAAAAGAUAAUACCUGUUUAAAGCCAAAAUAAUAAUAAAUUUUUGAAUUUAAAAUAUGUAAAAAAUGUAUAACCAAAAUAACACAAACGAUGGGGUAGUUGAUGAAACUACGUUUUUGGGUUUCUGAUAUUAUAUGUGAAGUGGUCUUCAGGUAGGCCAUCAUAAAUUAAAGAGACAUAUUUUAAACCCUAGAACAAUCCAUGCUAAAAAUAAAACAAAUGAAAAAAUAACAAAAACAAUAAAACCCAAAGAGAUAUAACUAAUAAGCUAAGAGGGGAGAUAAAAUUGAAUAAUUAAAGAAAAAUUUCAACUAAUUUAAAUAAGUUAGAAAAGUAGAUAAAAUGAAAGAACAGUUGAGAAUAGAGCACAAAUACCAAGACUGUAGCUUUAUGUCAAACCAUAUCCAUAAUUAAAUUAAAUUUUAAAUUUUUAAAAUUUCAGUUAGUAGUCAAAAACUGUCAGAUUGGAUAAAAAGCAAGACCCAACUACCUCCUGCAUUAGAAGACAUAUGAUGACAUAAGUAAGUUCAAAAUAAAAGAAUAGUAAAAGAUAUUCCAUGUUAAUAGUAAUCAAAAGAAAUUUGGAGUGGCUAUAAUAACAUCAGACAAGGUAGACUACAGGGAAAGGAAUAGUAUAAGAUAUAAGAAGAAUAUUGCAUAAUUACAAAAGGAUAAAUUUAUCAAGAGGAAUUAAAAAUUUUCAAACUACAUGAAACAUUUGGGUUGGUUCCAAGUCUUUGCUAUUGUAAAUAGUGCUGCAAUAAACAUACAUGUGCAUGCCUCUUUAUAGUAGAAUGAUUUAUAAUCCUUUGAGUAAUAUACCCAGUAGUGGGAUUGCUGGGUCAAAUGGUAUUUCUGGUUCUAGAUCCUUGAGGAAUCGCCACACUGUUUUCCACAAUGGUUGAACUAAUUUACACUCCUACCAACAGUGUAAAAGCAUUUCCAUUUCUCCACAUUCUCACCAGCAUCUGUUGUUUCCAGACUUUUUAAUGAUUGUCAUUCUAAGUGGCAUGAGAUUGUAUUUCAUUGUGGUUUUGAUUUGCAUUUCUUUAAUGACCAGUGAUGAUGAGAUUUUAUUCAUAUGUUUCUUGGCCACAUAAAUGUCUUCUUUUGAGAACUGUCUGUUCAUAAACUUUGCCCACUUUUUGGUGGGGUUGUUUUUUUCUUGUAAAUUUGUUUAAGCUCCCUGUAGAUUCUGAAUAUUAG